UCCCACCCAGCCCCAGCCCUGGCUCCUCCUGCUCUCAUCCUUAGAUCUGUUGGCCCUUGUGCUCUCACCCAGGUGCCUACAGUUAGCAGCUUCUGCGGGGGUAGGCUGCCCCCUACAUCUGCCCUGUUGAUACGGGAUUCAGAUUCUGGAGCUUCAGCAAAGUUUUUAAAGUGGAGGUGAUGGAAGAGACCAGCCAGGGCCGUGUUCAGAUGGGGUUAGGAAGCCAAUGAGGUGUGAUGCAAAAGGAAGAUGUGUAUGCUAUCAGGAUGGCAGGGACCCUGUCGUUAAACAAGAACCUACAGAUGGAGGAGACACGAGCACCAUAAUCUCACCCAUCAA